rnacentral:rRNA from 1 species
UCGGAGACGGUGCUCGUGCGGGCGGUGAUACGACACGCGUAUCAGAAAGACUCUCGGCAACGGAUAUCUCGGCUCUUGCAUCGAUGAAGAACGUAGCGAAAUGCGAUACUUGGUGUGAAUUGCAGAAUCUCGUGAACCAUCGAGUUUUUGAACGCAAGUUGCGCCCGAAGCCAUUAGGCCGAGGGCACGCCUGCCUGGGUGUCGCCCAUCGUUGCCCCAGUGCCUUGGCCUCGUGCUAGGCAUCGAGCUGGGCGAAUGUUGGCUUCCCGCGAGCAACGCCUCACGGUUGGUUGAAAACUGAGUCCGUGGUGGAGGGCGUCGUGACGGAUGGUGGUUGAG